UCGCCAGCCCGGUGCGAUAGGGUUGUGGGGGUGUAUCGUUGACAGGGUUCCUGUGUCCCUCUGGUCAACACUUUACCUUGAAAUCCCUGGGUCGUACGCGGUCAGCUAUUCCCUCCAGUUUGCGAGCGAGGGCAAUUCAUCUCGUCUGCUGCAGAAGGGACACCAUGUGUAGCAUUGUUUAAACGACCAGUAUACUUAUCUCACCAUAUCGAGUGUCGAUUGUCUUUGCAAUAAUUAUAUGGGCUUGAUGUCCGUAAACUGAGGUGACCAUUUCUUCAGCUCAAACUGUUAUUACUGUGCCGUUCAAUUGGAGACAUUUGCUGGUUGAAUACACCGACUGUAAAUUGUACGCCUGUCAGUUCUCUGCAACCGAACCACGAGAAAGUGUGCACAUCCAGAGCGAGACACACAAACUGCUGGAGGGACUCCGCAUCUGUGGAGAUGAUUAGAUAGUGCAUGUUUCGGGCCGAGACCCUUCCUCCGAGCUGAGAAGGAAGGCGGAAGAUGCCCGAAUAAAAAGAAGCAGAAGCUAACCUUUUUCAACACCGGAAAACAAAUCACCCCUGAGUUGAGCUAAAAAUAUAACCAAAUGACACGGCAGAGGUGAUCACCUUUCAAUGUCAGAUAUGUUAACUUCUGAAUGAAAGUGUAGGAUUGGCCUUCAAGGUCAGGGCUAAUC